GGAGCGUAAACUCCUUUUAUCAGGAAAGAAUAAUGACGGUACCUGAUGAAUAAGCACCGGCUAACUCCGUGCCAGCAGCCGCGGUAAUACGGGGGGUGCAAGCGUUACUCGGAAUCACUGGGCGUAAAGGACGCGUAGGCGGAUUAUCAAGUCUUUUGUGAAAUCUAGUGGCUUAACCACUAAACUGCUUAGGAAACUGAUAGUCUAGAGUAGGGGAGAGGUAGAUGGAAUUCUUGGUGUAGGGGUAAAAUCCGUAGAGAUCAAGAAGAAUACCCAUUGCGAAAGCGAUCUGCUGGAACCUAACUGACGCUGAGGCGUGAAAGCGUGGGUAGCAAACAGGAUUAGAUACCCUGGUAGUCCACGCCCUAAACGAUGUAUACUAGUUGUUGCUUUGCUAGUCAAGGCAGUAAUGCAGCUAACGCAUUAAGUAUACCGCCUGGGGAGUACGGUCGCAAGAUUAAAACUCAAAGGAAUAGACGGGGACCCGCACAAGCGGUGGAGCAUGUGGUUUAAUUCGAAGAUACGCGAAGAACCUUACCUGGACUUGACAUCCUAAAAACAUCUAAGAGAUUAGAAAGUGCUAGUUUACUAGAAUUUAGUGACAGGUGCUGCACGGCUGUCGUCAGCUCGUGUCGUGAGAUGUUGGGUUAAGUCCCGCAACGAGCGCAACCCACGUGUUUAGUUGCUAACAGCUCGGCUGAGCACUCUAAACAGACUGCCUUCGUAAGGAGGAGGAAGGUGUGGACGACGUCAAGUCAUCAUGGCCCUUAUGUCCAGGGCGAC
rnacentral:rRNA from 1 species